CGCUAGAGUUCUAUAUAAAGAGAGAAGCGACAUCGAACCCCCACUAUAGACUUCGCAUCCCCACCAUUACCUCCAGCACCGCCAUAUUGGGACCGCUCCAUAUGUCAUCAAACUGAUCAAACAUCAAACUCCAUUUAACAUACUCCGUCAGCGUGAGGUUAAGAUGUUCGAUACACAUGUUUAAUACAUGUUGCAGUUUUAUUCUCUUCAUGUUUUUUAUUAAAUAAAUGUGGUGAUUGAGUAAUAAUUGAUGGUGAAAAUUGAAAAUGUCAUGCACAGAGGAAGUGAGCGCUUCCUAAAUAUAUAAUAAUGACGAAUGGAAGCAUUACAUUGAUCAGUACACAAUUGAUGAGACUUCAGAAAUUUCUAUAAAUCAAUUCAAUUCCGAAACUCCUUGUGAUACUGCAAAUAAUAAACUGCUCAUCGAUCAACUAAAAGCUCAAAAUGAUGAAGCCUUACAAAAAAUCAUCCAUCUGGAAUGUGAGCAUGAUGCAAACCUAAACAAACUGAUGGUGAUGCUUUCUGCUAUUAAACAAAUGGAGAGUAAGAUGUAUUGUACGAAGCGACUAUUCAUGAAAGUUACAAGUUCAAGCGGACGACGAUGGAAAAAGUAUUAUGUCAGAGUACAAAAGAAGAAAAAUUUGUGAUUUUUAAUGAAAAUCGAGAUUUUUAUUGCUAAUAUUGCAUCAUAUACAAGAAAUUUUAUACAGUAUUUUUAACAUUCUUAAGUUUUAUAUCAAGUAGAAUCACAAUUGAGAAUCACAAUUAUGAAUUUGUAAAAAAAUAUAUAUAUCGCGUACGCGAUAUUUAUCGCGAUAUCUAUCGAUAUCUAUCUA